rnacentral:rRNA from 1 species
GAUGAACGCUGGCGGCGUGCCUAAUACAUGCAAGUCGAGCGAACGGACGAGAAGCUUGCUUUUCUGAUGUUAGCGGCGGACGGGUGAGUAACACGUGGAUAACCUACCUAUAAGACUGGGAUAACUUCGGGAAACCGGAGCUAAUACCGGAUAAUAUUUUGAACCGCAUGGUUCAAAAGUGAAAGACGGUCUUGCUGUCACUUAUAGAUGGAUCCGCGCUGCAUUAGCUAGUUGGUAAGGUAACGGCUUACCAAGGCAACGAUGCAUAGCCGACCUGAGAGGGUGAUCGGCCACACUGGAACUGAGACACGGUCCAGACUCCUACGGGAGGCAGCAGUAGGGAAUCUUCCGCAAUGGGCGAAAGCCUGACGGAGCAACGCCGCGUGAGUGAUGAAGGUCUUCGGAUCGUAAAACUCUGUUAUUAGGGAAGAACAUAUGUGAAAGUAACGGUGCACAUCUUGACGGUACCUAAUCAGAAAGCCACGGCUAACUACGU